rnacentral:rRNA from 1 species
GACAGAGGUGCCGAGCGUUAGGCGGAAUCACUGGGCUUAAAGCGUGUGUAGGCGGCCCGUUAAGUGUCUUGUGAAAUCCCCCGGCUCAACCGGGGAACGGCUGGGCAUACUGGCGGGCUUGGGUCGCUCAGGGGCAGACGGAACAGGCGGUGGAGCGGUGAAAUGCGUAGAUAUCGGGAGGAACACCAGUGGCGAAGGCGGUUGCCUGGAGCUUUGCUGACGCUGAGGCGCGAAAGCGUGGGGAGCGAUCCGG